rnacentral:rRNA from 1 species
ACGUAGGUGGCAAGCGUUGUCCGGAAUUAUUGGGCGUAAAGCGCGCGCAGGCGGUCCUUUAAGUCUGAUGUGAAAGCCCACGGCUCAACCGUGGAGGGUCAUUGGAAACUGGGGGACUUGAGUGCAGAAGAGGAAAGUGGAAUUCCACGUGUAGCGGCGGAAUGCGUAGAGAUCCGGAAGAACACCGGUGGCGAAGGCGGUUAGCUGGGCAGUAACUGACGCUGAGGCGCGACAGCGUGGGGAGCAAACAGGA